GGCUCCAGGUCUCCUCAGUGAGGAGGAUGUUGAUCUACUCCCCUUUAUCACGUGUUCAUGGCACAUAAAGAAAACGUUGAGGCUAUUUGUUGACAUAAAAGACCUGAUCUCAAGUGGUGUGGGCUGUUUGAGCAGCUCAGUGCUGACAGGGACCAAAUCCAGUGACCAGGACCGACCCUAUGGAGUCACCCUGGUGAAACAGCACAGAAUGCAGACAAUCCCCUGCACACAAGAUUAGCCACAAAGAGGAGUCAUCAUCCUUAAGGAACAGGCCUGCUUGGGAAGGAAAGGCUGUCUGGAGGCUGCAGGGCACAGCACUAUCCUCAGGUGCUUUGAGAUAUCUGAGCAAGGUUCCUGGCACUAAAGGAGGAGAGAAAAAAAUGUGCUUUUCAUGCUGCGGGCUGUGUGCCGCUAGAAUUCAGCUUGCCUGCUAGCCCAGGCUUUCUCAAGCUUGGCUUAAUAAAAUCCAGAUCUCAUCUAAUGAGUUCAGAGGAUGCUUCAGAAUGUCUCAUCGUGGAAAGUGCUGAUUUUGCACACCAAGCCAAGGAAGGUUUAUGGCACCAAAAGAGUCUCCAAAGUCUUUAUCCUCACUGACCUGAAGGAGAAAAAGCUCCCUGGGCUGUUAGCAGCACCUCUCCUCCUCCUGCAGCACAUUGUGACUUGGCUUUUAUUGCAACCGUGCCUUUCCUCAUGACACAACCUCUGUGACAGUGCUCCAGCUCUGCCAUGGCAUUCCUGGGCAUUUCAGCUGGGCCUGCCUUUGCCCAAAUCAAGGGAAUCUAACCUGUGGGUUUGGGACAGGCACUGCUUUAGCCCACACAGUGGUGGUUUCUUUGCUUUCUUCUGGAUUUUUUUCUCUCUUGGUCACUCAGUUGCUGGCUUUAAAUGAAAAAGGGACAUUUGGAAAGGCAGAGUGGCAGCUCUGAGCCAUUAUAGUUGACAAUUAAAAGUGCAACAUCUCUUCCAUCAUGCAGGGCUUUAGGUUCAAGCCUGCAGAGGAAAAGGGGUUACUUCCAAAGCCCUGAAUCCCUUUAAAUAAAUAUCAGCCAGCAUUUGCCUUGCAGUCAGCAGGGACUGAGGUGAGCCAAGCAGUGGCAGCAAUGCUCUCCCUAAUCAAGCAUCCUUCUCUCUCUUCAAUCAGGUGGAGCAAGUGGCAUGUUGACUUGCUGGCUGGGGCUGGAUCCAGCCCUGCUCCUGCAGGUUUGCAGUGCCUGGAGCAGCCAUCUGUGGGGCAGCAGCACUGCUGGGCCACCUCUGCCCCCUAAUCUCCCUGCUCCCAUCCACACGUGCUGUCCUGAUACCGACAGCCGGUCCCACGCGGGCAUCGUGCCAGCAGUGACUUUACAGGCUUUGUGGCAGAGAUUAUUUAAAGGAGAUUAACCCUUCUAAACCCCUUAGAUUUUAAUUAUUUCUGUAUGUAUUUAUAAAACCUGCAGUCUGCUA